rnacentral:rRNA from 1 species
AGUGAACGCUGGCGGUAGGCCUAACACAUGCAAGUCGAACGGCAGCACAGUAAGAGCUUGCUCUUACGGGUGGCGAGUGGCGGACGGGUGAGGAAUACAUCGGAAUCUACUUUUUCGUGGGGGAUAACGUAGGGAAACUUACGCUAAUACCGCAUACGACCUACGGGUGAAAGCAGGGGAUCUUCGGACCUUGCGCGAUUGAAUGAGCCGAUGUCGGAUUCGCUAGUUGGCGGGGUAAAGGCGCACCAAGGCGACGAUCCGUAGCUGGUCUGAGAGGAUGAUCAGCCACACUGGAACAGAGACACGGUCCAGACUCCUACGGGAGGCAGCAGUGGGGAAUAUUGGACAAUGGGCGCAAGCCUGAUCCAGCCAUACCGCGUGGGUGAAGAAGGCCUUCGGGUUGUAAAGCCCUUUUGUUGGGAAAGAAAAGCAGCAGGUUUAUACCCCGCUGUUCUGACGGUACCCAAAGAAUAAGCACCGGCUAACUUCGUG